rnacentral:rRNA from 1 species
UACGUAGGGGGCGAGCGUUGUCCGGAUUUAUUGGGCGUAAAGAGCGUGUAGGCGGUUCGGUAAGUCUGUCGUGAAAUCCUGAGGCUCAACCUCGGACGCGCGAUGGAUACUGCCGGGCUAGAGGAUGGUAGAGGCGAGUGGAAUUCCCGGUGUAGCGGUGAAAUGCGCAGAUAUCAGGAGGAACACCGGUGGCGAAGGCGGAUCUCUGGGCCUUACCUGACGCUCAGGCGCGAAAGCUAGGGGAGCGAACAGG